AUUUUCCUGGUUCAUAAGCAUGAUGAUUGGGUGGUUACGUUUGUGCAUAUGCAUGUGCCUUCCUUAAACCUUGUUAUGAUGUUGGCACAUUAAAUCUCUGACA